GUGGUAAGUUCCUGGAGAUUAUUGUUUUAAAAAUGUGCUUGCUGCCUGCCACUCUGCUACCAAAAAUAGCCAGUCUGAAGGGUCUAAGUGUUAAGAGGACAUUCCUGGAAACUAGUUCAUCAGAGGCCAUUUGUGACAAAACAUUCUUGAAUUAUUUUUCACAACCGUCUCUCUCUAGCAAAUGAAACUAAUUUCUAUCGAAAGAGACUGAAAGCGUCACAUCAGUGAAAAUUUGGAUAGACACAUUGCCGCAUACAAAUCCGAUGCUUUAUGAUCUCACACUGCACGGAUUUGGAAACUACUGCAUGUGCACGAUUCUCCGCCUAGUUCCCUGCAGGUGGGGAUGUUUUUUUCCCCCCCCCGGAAAGAAAACUGUAGCUCUGCCCUGAAGAUGAGUCCCACAGAGGUUUUGCAGGGUGGAGUUAUCGAGAAAUUGACUUCGGGGAGACGAAGCUCUGACCUCCCAGGCACCAAGAUUUUUACCAACAACCCGGGAUGCUCACUGCAGGAGGGAGCGGGUGAGGAGGACACAGGGAUUCGAGGGCGGGACAGACAGGGAGAGGACACAGGUUAAAACAGAGACUUCUGUUUUAAGGCUCUCGGGGAUCCCUGAGAGUGCCCCUGAGGGCUCCAAGCGCGGGAAGCGAGCGCCGGGAAGUGGCGGUUACAGUCCCGGGUCCCGCGCCCUUUCCCGCGCCACUGCUCAGCCGGUUCCGGCGCGCCCCCAAGCCCACGCGG
rnacentral:lncRNA from 1 species